rnacentral:rRNA from 1 species
AUUGAACGCUGGCGGCAUGCCUUACACAUGCAAGUCGAACGGCAGCACGGGUGCUUGCACCUGGUGGCGAGUGGCGAACGGGUGAGUAAUAUAUCGGAACGUACCUUAUUGUGGGGGAUAACGCAGCGAAAGCUGUGCUAAUACCGCAUAAUCCCUAAGGGGGAAAGCGGGGGACCGUAAGGCCUCGCGCAAUUAGAGCGGCCGAUACCUGAUUAGCUAGUUGGUGAGGUAAAGGCUCACCAAGGCAACGAUCAGUAGCUGGUCUGAGAGGACGAUCAGCCACACUGGGACUGGGACACGGCCCAGACUCCUACGGGAGGCAGCAGUGGGGAAUUUUGGACAAUGGGGGCAACCCUGAUCCAGCAAUGCCGCGUGAGUGAAGAAGGCCUUCGGGUUGUAAAGCUCUUUUGUCAGGGAAGAAACAGCAGCUCUAACACAGUUUGCGAAUGACGGUACCUGAAGAAAAAGCACCGGCUAACUACGUGCCAGCAGCCGCGGUAA